AAGGAAUGUNUUACAACAAAAAGAAC
rnacentral:tRNA from 1 species